AGUCGAACGGAGUUAUAUUGUAGCUUGCUAUGGUAUAACUUAGUGGCAGACGGGUGAGUAAUGUAUAGGAAUCUACCUAGUAGUACGGAAUAAUUGUUGGAAACGACAACUAAUACCGUAUACGCCCUACGGGGGAAAAAUUUAUUGCUAUUAGAUGAGCCUAUAUUAGAUUAGCUAGUUGGUGGGGUAAUAGCCUACCAAGGUAAUGAUCUAUAGCUGAUCUGAGAGGAUGAUCAGCCACACUGGAACUGAGAUACGGUCCAGACUCCUGCGGGAGGCAGCAGUGGGGAAUAUUGGACAAUGGGCGAAAGCCUGAUCCAGCCAUGCCGCAUGAGUGAAGAAGGCCUUUGGGUUGUAAAGCUCUUUUAGUGAGGAAGAUAAUGACGGUACUCACAGAAGAAGUCCUGGCUAACUCCGUGCCAGCAGCCGCGGUAAUACGGAGAGGGCUAGCGUUAUUCGGAAUUAUUGGGCGUAAAGGGCGCGUAGGCUGGUUAAUAAGUUAAAAGUGAAAUCCCGAGGCUUAACCUUGGAAUUGCUUUUAAAACUAUUAAUCUAGAGAUUGAAAGAGGAUAGAGGAAUUCCUGAUGUAGAGGUAAAAUUCGUAAAUAUUAGGAGGAACACCAGUGGCGAAGGCGUCUAUCUGGUUCAAAUCUGACGCUGAAGCGCGAAGGCGUGGGGAGCAAACAGGAUUAGAUACCCUGGUAGUCCACGCUGUAAACGAUGAAUGUUAAAUAUGGGGAGUUUACUUUCUGUAUUACAGCUAACGCGUUAAACAUUCCGCCUGGGGACUACGGUCGCAAGAUUAAAACUCAAAGGAAUUGAC
rnacentral:rRNA from 1 species